UUUAUGGAGAGUUUGAUCCUGGCUCAGGAUGAACGCUGGCGGCGUGCCUAAUACAUGCAAGUCGAGCGAACGGACGAGAAGCUUGCUUCUCUGAUGUUAGCGGCGGACGGGUGAGUAACACGUGGAUAACCUACCUAUAAGACUGGGAUAACUUCGGGAAACCGGAGCUAAUACCGGAUAAUAUUUUGAACCGCAUGGUUCAAAAGUGAAAGACGGUCUUGCUGUCACUUAUAGAUGGAUCCGCGCUGCAUUAGCUAGUUGGUAAGGUAACGGCUUACCAAGGCAACGAUGCAUAGCCGACCUGAGAGGGUGAUCGGCCACACUGGAACUGAGACACGGUCCAGACUCCUACGGGAGGCAGCAGUAGGGAAUCUUCCGCAAUGGGCGAAAGCCUGACGGAGCAACGCCGCGUGAGUGAUGAAGGUCUUCGGAUCGUAAAACUCUGUUAUUAGGGAAGAACAUAUGUGUAAGUAACUGUGCACAUCUUGACGGUACCUAAUCAGAAAGCCACGGCUAACUACGUGCCAGCAGCCGCGGUAAUACGUAGGUGGCAAGCGUUAUCCGGAAUUAUUGGGCGUAAAGCGCGCGUAGGCGGUUUUUUAAGUCUGAUGUGAAAGCCCACGGCUCAACCGUGGAGGGCCAUUGGAAACUGGAAAACUUGAGUGCAGAAGAGGAAAGUGGAAUUCCAUGUGUAGCGGUGAAAUGCGCAGAGAUAUGGAGGAACACCAGUGGCGAAGGCGACUUUCUGGUCUGUAACUGACGCUGAUGUGCGAAAGCGUGGGGAUCAAACAGGAUUAGAUACCCUGGUAGUCCACGCCGUAAACGAUGAGUGCUAAGUGUUAGGGGGUUUCCGCCCCUUAGUGCUGCAGCUAACGCAUUAAGCACUCCGCCUGGGGAGUACGACCGCAAGGUUGAAACUCAAAGGAAUUGACGGGGACCCGCACAAGCGGUGGAGCAUGUGGUUUAAUUCGAAGCAACGCGAAGAACCUUACCAAAUCUUGACAUCCUUUGACAACUCUAGAGAUAGAGCCUUCCCCUUCGGGGGACAAAGUGACAGGUGGUGCAUGGUUGUCGUCAGCUCGUGUCGUGAGAUGUUGGGUUAAGUCCCGCAACGAGCGCAACCCUUAAGCUUAGUUGCCAUCAUUAAGUUGGGCACUCUAAGUUGACUGCCGGUGACAAACCGGAGGAAGGUGGGGAUGACGUCAAAUCAUCAUGCCCCUUAUGAUUUGGGCUACACACGUGCUACAAUGGACAAUACAAAGGGCAGCGAAACCGCGAGGUCAAGCAAAUCCCAUAAAGUUGUUCUCAGUUCGGAUUGUAGUCUGCAACUCGACUACAUGAAGCUGGAAUCGCUAGUAAUCGUAGAUCAGCAUGCUACGGUGAAUACGUUCCCGGGUCUUGUACACACCGCCCGUCACACCACGAGAGUUUGUAACACCCGAAGCCGGUGGAGUAACCUUUUAGGAGCUAGCCGUCGAAGGUGGGACAAAUGAUUGGGGUGAAGUCGUAACAAGGUAGCCGUAUCGGAAGGUGCGGCUGGAUCACCUCCUUUCU
rnacentral:rRNA from 1 species